GCAGAACACCAGAUCUUUUUUUUUCGUUUCAUUUCAGGUGUUUUCUAACAUGGAGCGAGGCCAUUGCUGCAAAUUGUGGAUAGAACAGACUGCAUUGGACCAGCUUAAAAAAGAGAAAGUGCAUCUGACUGACCAGAGAGCUCAUACCACCCUGUGAGCUGAGUGAAACUCCAUGUUUAUGAAAAGGAAAAUAGAAAGCAGUCUUGUCUUUCCUGAGUCAUCUCACAGCAAAGGAGCAACACAGCAAUCCUACAGCAGAAAAACAUGACAGAAGAGCAGGACAACAAUGAAAAGAUUGAUAGACAUGGCCUAGAUAAUGAAAACACAUUCGAAUGUGACAGUAAUCUGUGUAAA